CAGCAGCCGCGGUAAUACGUAGGGUCCGAGCGUUGUCCGGAAUUAUUGGGCGUAAAGAGCUCGUAGGCGGUCUGUCGCGUCUGCCGUGAAAUCCUCAGGCUCAACCUGAGGCGUGCGGUGGGUACGGGCAGGCUAGAGUGCGGUAGGGGAGAAUGGAACUCCUGGUGUAGCGGUGGAAUGCGCAGAUAUCAGGAAGAACACCGAUGGCGAAGGCAGUUCUCUGGGCCGUAACUGACGCUGAGGAGCGAAAGCGUGGGGAGCGAACAGGAUUAGAUACCCCGGUAGUCCCUGUCUCUUAUAC
rnacentral:rRNA from 1 species